rnacentral:tRNA from 1 species
GCCUGCCUAGCUCAAUCGGAUAGAGCGUCAGACUCUUAGUGAGCUUGAAAUGGCGAGCGUAAAUCUGAAGGCUGCGAGUUCGACCCUCGCGGUGGGCU